AUAACUACACUGCAAAAGCUGUGAUUUUAAAAAGCACUGUAGUGUGUACAGUGAGUUUCUUUAUCAAUUUUAUGGUACAUAAUAUGUUCUGCAAUCUUGCAGCUGUUGUUGGUUUUUCUUUUGUUUCUGUUCUGGAAGCCUAUGCUUUAAUAAAUACAUUUUCUACGGUACAAAGGGAAGCCUACGCAGUGCUUCAUGUGUCUAACCGCUGUUGCUGUGGGUGGCAGCGAAACCAGAAUAAGUCCUGCUCCCCUUUUCUCUGGUGUUUUUCUCCUUUUUUGGAAAAAAAAAGAAAAAAUCUGCAAAGAACAUAAAAAUGCAAUUUAUCUACAUGCUCUCUGCCUCUUAUUUCACAACAUAAAUCACCGUUUGUUUGUUUUUUUACUGCUCUUCUCUGAUUUCUCUCCUCUGCUGUUCUUUGAUUUGUUGGAUUGUUUUCAGGAAAGAAACUGGAACUUGUUGCACCGAAGGUAAGACACAUCUGGACGACAGUUAAAGCUUAAUGCUGCUCUAAUCAGCGUUUGUAUAAUAACAGGGGAUUAAAUGACUGCAUGUAAUGUUAAAGGGGUUGCAGAGAAUUAUCACCUGAACCCGACAGUUUCCAGCUGCAGCAGGCAGAUGUUUUCAACUAAAAGCUCUCCAGCGCCCAACAGAAAACAGACAAAGCUCGCAACAGGCUGCUAAGAAGAGACCUUAGAAGUCAUAUUAUUUUUUAAAAAUCCACCAUUUCACACAUGGUUGGCUGAAAUAACCACAAUAUAAACCUGUAGUGCUACUGAAGAGACUCCUAUACAUCCUUUAUUUCCUCGGUGAGACAAUAUUUUCAGCUCACCUAUUUCCAACAUGCAUGUUUUUGUUUUAUUCUUUGGUCUGAAUUCAGUGAAUCCUCCAGAGCAGCUGUGCAGGAUGAUUUAAACAGGAAUAAGAAAUGAUGUUUUGCAGCAGCCGAAGCAGAGAGAGACGCUUGCAGAGCUGCUGUGUGGGCUGACGAGGACAGAUUAGCAUAAUGAGGAUAUAGGAAGCGUCUAAGGCUAAUCUGCUAAACACAAAAAAAUAUGUGCAGGAACUCUGAGUGAGGAUGAAGAGAAAUUAGUCAUGAAUUCUAGAUCUGCAGGUUCGUUUCUGAAAAUGACAUGGGUGUGGCAGACAGACUACCUGAGCAUAGCAACAGUUUUUAGAAUCUGAUCAGCCUUUUGUUCCAACUCUGUAAACACUAUAAUCAGUGAAAUCAACCCACCUUCCAUUUGUUAUUGAACUGUUAUAUUCAGAUUUAUUCAUUACAAAUGAAGAAAUCUCUAACAGCAGCACAAUAUUAUUGAAGAUUAUUUUAUUUUAGGGCAACAAUUACGGCCUCUUAAGGUGUCUUAAGUAACAGUAUGUAGCUGUCAGUUUAUCAGUAGUAAAAAAUAAAUAAAAUUAAUCUUCUGUUACAGGAAUUAUUCAGUAAAAUGCUGCUCAGAUCAAACUAUUCGGUAAGUUUUAAACCUUAAAAGUUAAUGCUAAUAAUGUAGCUACAUCCUCUGCAUUUUGCUGAUUUAGGAGACCACAGAGAGUGAGAGAAGAUCAAAUAAGUUAGGAUUGAUAAGAAGCAGGACAAGAGUGAUAGAAGUACAAUAAGUGGGAAAAUAAAGAUGUAAUAAAGGUAUAAUAAAGACAAUGUACAAGGCAGGAUUAAUUUAUUUACCGGUAUGGACAGACAUGAUAUUGUGAAUUUACAUAUGGAUAUGUACUAUAAUAAAACUAAAAUUAUAUUUAUGAGAAUUUAAAUUCAAUGAUAAACACUGUAGUAACCAAGGUAUCAAGGAAAUUCAGCUUUAACAGCAUCAUCACACUGAAAACAUUAUGUUCUGCUGAGGAUUUGGACCAUACAAUAAGGCGGCCAUGCUAUUUAUUUAUAUGUUUUUUGGUGUAUUAUCUAUUUUAUUAACCCUGCAUGCAAAUGUUCCACCAAAACUAUCUCCUCCAUCAUUGUUUUAAAGGGGCACUAUCACUAUAUCCUGAUCUUAGCACCACCCAAGAUAACUGUAAAUGAUUUUAAAAGAAGUGAAAACAAAGUAGGGUGUUUUUUACCUCUAUAGAACAAUAAUACUGUUGAGUCAGACCAUUCUACACAGUGCUAUAUGAGUCAAUCUCUUCAGUUAGGCUAGGUUAAACAAGUGCAGAAAUGCUAAUGAAGCUAGCAGUUGUAGGUACUGUAAGACCCGUGUGAGUCCAAAACUCCCAACAGGCAGCACAGAUUUACUAACAAAUUCUAACAAAUAAAGAAAAAAUAAAUCAGUUAGAACACCAGGCAAGAAAAUGAAGUAUACAUAUAUAAUACAGUACAUUUCUGUAUUAUUAAUUAGCUUGACUCUUGCUUCCAUUUGGCACAUUAGUUUAGCAGGCUGCUAAUUAUGAGCUGAUUAAGUGACGGUACAUCAUGUAUCUGUUAUGUCCAAAGGGUGGUGUCUUCUUUCCAUAUUGCUCUAUUAAGUACAGCAUAUACACACUUUAUUUACUGCUAUUUAAAUCCAAUGAGCUGCAUAUCUUGAGUUACACAACAUCAUAUGGCUCCUAUAGUCCAGAUGUUAUUUGAUAUCUCGCUCAUCGUGGAGUUCCAGUUUGGAAAUGCGCAUAGGAGCGAAGUUUAUUAUUGCAGUUGUCGUUCUAUUUCUGCACUAAUAACCUCCCUUCACCUCGCAGCCCUGCAAAUCACACAAACCCACCAGGACACAUUAGUCUUUCCACAGUUUAUGAGAAGCCAGCAGCCCUCUGCACUCUGAAGACAAGACGGUUCUUCAAAGGUCCAAAAUGGUGCUUUGGUUUGUUGCUUAUGUUAGAAAGACCAUAAAUAAUUUAAUGCACCGCUGUGUUGAUCUAAUGAUGUUCAGCUCCCUUCGCUGCUAAUAUACCAUCUCCUUAUUAAGAUACAAAAUACUGUGGAAGCCAAACACAAAACCCCACCUGUAGGACAUUAUAUGGGCGGUCUGUUUCCUAGCCUGUUUUUCUAUUUGUUAGUUAGCAGAGAGGCUAAAAAUGUGACUGCUAAAUCUUAUCGUGGUGGGAAAUUGAAUCACUGCUUUAAGUUUUUCUUGCAGAUUCAUGAUUGUUUUGAUAAUUUUUGAACAUUUUCUGACAUGUUUUUGACAAUUUAUGCCACAGUUGUCUGUCACUACUUGUACUUUUAAUGCUGAAGAGCUUUUAUUAGACAGUCAUAAUUAAUUACUGAAAAAGUCCACUUUUAGUGUUUUCCAUCUCCAUAUUAAGAUAUAUACAAAGUAAAGUACAAAACAGUGUGCAUGUGGGAAUAACCAAAAGAAGGCCAAACAUUUAACCCCAUUUGUAGGACAUUAUGUGGACAGUCUGUUUCCCAGCCUGUUUUUUAGAAUGUUAGCGAGCAGAGACUGAAAAUGUCACGAUCAGUGGUAAUUUUGGUGGGAAAUUGGAUCUCUGUUUCAGGUUUUUCUUGCAGAUUCAUGAUAUUAUUUUGGUUUAGAACACUGUUGAUAUGUUUCUGACAUUUUAUUCAACAGUUGUCUGUCACUACUGUACUUUGAUGCUGAAAAAUCUUUGAAUCCAAUCAAAAGUUGUGAUUAAUAUUUGGAAAAAUCCAGUUUUAGUGUUUCUCAUAGUAUCAAAAACGCCCAAACAGACAAUCUUUGCGCACAAACAGUGCACCUAUUCUCAUCAGGAUUGUCUAAUUUAAUAAAAUUUUAUUUAAAAAUGCACAUAUAAUGAUGAAUUAAACUAAUUUAGAGUGUUAUGGAGCAUCCUGUAGAUGAGCCAAGUUAAUUCUAGCACUAAGACUAAUUCUCCAGCACAUUGAAUGAGAUGUAUUGCAUGAUGUUUUGUUAAUUAAGCACCAAUCCAAAACCUAACCUAAUCCCAUAGUGUGGGAUGUCAUUUAUUAUAAGACUCUUAUAAAAGAUAGUAAAGAAAAACAUUUUCAUGGCCAAACUGUUCCUCCGGUAGCCACAAAGAACCGCCUGCAGGUAUCUCACAGAGUCAUUUUUAAUCACAGUGUAGCAGCCUCUCGACACGUUCGGCUCUGCCCAGCGGGUCGGACUGUCCACCUGUCUGUGAGACCCCAACACAUCACGCCAGCCCUGUCGGGAAACAUUAGGCUUUGGGUGAUGUAUGGAAGUCAGCCAGAGAACAGUGAAACCACAUCAAGCUGUUCUGACUGCCUCGGGCUGCUGCAUGUCGCCGUCACAGCAGAACAACACAAACACGCCAGAGAAGCUUUUUUUCUCUCUCUCAGGGUGGUUUUUGUUUUAUUUUAUGAUCAGCAGGUACGAGAGAUGCGAUCAUUUGUUUGUGCAUCUGUCACAGGCAAUAUCUCAGACGACUAACACCAUGGUCCGUGUACGGAUCUGGUAAUUGGAUAUUCCGUUCUGAAACAGGUAUUGAAAAACAAAAAACGAGUCGUUAUUUGAUUUUCGUUUUAAAAUACAAAAUUUAAAAUUGAAACACAAGGCGUUUUUCCUUUUCAUGAUCAAAAAGGGAUAUACAUUUUUUUAAAUGCUUUGAUUUUCGUUUUAUAUUUAGAAUAACAAGAAAGUAAAAUCAGUAAGAGACAGAAAUGAAAAAAUGUCCGUUUUUUUAUUUUCUGAGACCGGAAGUGGUCAUCAGCAAGUGUGGAGCCAAACGACAAGAUUCUCAGAGGGCGGAGCCAGAGAGCAGUGAUUGGUCAGACCAUAGAUACUAUAGAAGACAGCGCGCUAGCGUAUCCAGUCUGCUUUAUAUAUCUAUGGUUAGCACGUCUGGUAGCAUCUCUGGCUGCUGUUGACCUUCUUUUUGGAGUAAAACACGGUGGAAGCUGAAUUAGUGAGGAUGACUCCUGCUCCUGUCAUCUCUAAGCUCCUCACACAUCUUUACCUGCACAUGAGGAAAAUCACUCCUGUAGAAUGCAGAUGUUCAGAAGGAGAUGAUGCCACAUCUGGUCCAGACGAUGGAAGGUCUUGAAGUUCUCUGACUGGCCUCGACUGAAGAUGGUCGUCUCACUGGAUUUAAGGUUCAGAUGCUCAGUAACAAACUCCACCAAUGAGCCAACAGGGAAGCUUUAGGUUUAUUAAAUGUUGCUAUGAAGGUUUCGCUGUUUUUCUUUGUGAAUGCAAUGUGCUCCAACUGAAACUUGAAUUAGAACUUAGAAGUAAAUCCUUCCAUCUGAAAGGUUUUAGUUGCAUUAAUAACCUCAUAACAUUCUAAUUUUUAUUCCAGUCUUGGUUGGAAAUAGAAUCUCUGGAUUGAUUCAGGUAAAAACUGAACUUCACAGCAUGUUGCAGCAAAACAACCAGAUGAAAACUGUGAUGGUGUUGGAUUGUCAGACCGUAAUGUUGCAGCUCAAAGCAGCUUUUCUAGCUCAGUUCAUUCUGACAUUCAGCUAUGAAUCAACACAGCAGAUGGUGAUCCAUGCUGUGGAAGUCUCACAUCUCCUGAUUUAAUGGAGCUGCUUUGCACUUUUUACACUGUUUAUUCACCAACACUUUAUUUAAUAAAAGUCCCAUCUAGUUUUUAUGAGGAAUGUGAUGCUUUAAUUUCUCUGUGAAUAACUGCAGUCUAAUGCAACAGCUGGAAUUGUAACAUCUGUCCUGAUAUUGAUCAUGAAGUAUUGAUCAGAAUACUUAUGGUCAGCAGUCAUCCCUGAAGUUUUACUUUAAAAUCUUUACUUGUGAUGUGAACUUUGGUAAGAAGCAGAAACUUUUGCGUUGCCAUGGAUACAUGAGUGUUAAAUUCUGUCCAUGUUUCCAUUUUGGGAAAUUCAGUCCAGCAGAUGAGUUUGUUUUUACUGCCAGCUACCAUUCAGUCUGAGAUAUUAAGAAUAAAUAAAUAUGUAUAAUGUGGAAAUUAACAGAGUUUAUUUUUAUUUAUUCCUACACCUGCUGCAUUUAAAGUUCCAGAAUGUGGAGGAAUUUAGGAUCACAAUAACAGACAAUAAUAUUAUCUGAAAGUCGGGUUAUUGUUGUUUAUCAGCACAAUACAAAAAGAUUAAUGUUAGAAAUAUUCCAGUUAAGACUCUAGAAUAUCAUGAUUUAUCUAAAUUUACCUCAAUAAUAUGAAUGUUCAGGUUAAGAUUGUACAGUGAUAUUUAUUAUGUAAGUUUAGCUGAUUAAAGUUUAUGACUCUGCACUAAAAUAUUAUUUAAAUUGACAUCAUUAUUAUAAUAUUUAGGGUCAGACCCUACAGUAUUGAGAUUAAGAAAUCAAAUAUUCUAUAAAAUGUAAAUACACUGAACUCAUUUGGAUGUAUUUAAGUGAGACUCUACAAUAUUAUUUGACACAAAUCUAUCUAAAUCAAAAUUUGAAUCAUUUUUACUCCAAACAUUUACUGGACUGAUUUAAACAUUAAAAUCACUCCUUUCUAAUCCUCUGCUGUACGUUCAAACCUGAGGCCUUAAAUAGAAACACACAAGUAUCUGAUUGAAGGAACUUCUGCAGAGUCCUGGUUCCAGAACAUGAUGAUAGAAUUAUAGACAAACUUUAACAAAAGCUGCCUGAGAGUUUACAGCUUUUUAUGUUGGAUUUCUUCAGUAAUUUAAUGAGAGUUAUCAGCAAAAAUCAAGUGUUCAUUUGAUGAACUUGAUUUCCUAAAACAUCCAGAAUUGGAGCUCAUAUCUUUGGCAGCUGUAAAGUUUCUGCUCCUUCAAAGUUCACAACACAAUGAAUGAAUUCCUAAAACACUCUCAAUGCUGGAGAGCGUUUGAUGCUGAAGCAGUGACCAGUUUUUCUGUUUCUUCUCUGGAGAUGCACAAUGAGGGACGUCUGCAGAGACUGAGAAAGAGUCUCACCACAUCCUGACAUGAGGAAAAAGACUUUAUUGAAGACUACAAUGAGAAAAACUAUCAGACAGCAGACGGCUGCAUUCAAGGUGAGCUCUGAACAUUUGAUCUGGAACAGGAAUUCAAUAACGGCAGCAUGAGCUUCAUUUCAGUCUGUAGCUGCUGAAUUCAUGGAUGAAUCAUCUGGCACUAGAGAGGAAGACCAUCAAACAUCCAUGUCAGCUGAUGGAGGUCCAAGAGUCUGACCCAACAAACAACCUACAGAGUGAAGACCUCGAAUCUGAUUGGACGGCCUCCUAUUCAGCCACAUGUGUGAACAAAUGCCUCUAAGCUGAUUAAGCUGAUUUGUUUUCUAAAAUAAAUCUAGUUUGAGUCCUAA